rnacentral:sRNA from 1 species
GCUAGUUAUAAGAGUUAGAGAUGGAUUAUAG